rnacentral:rRNA from 1 species
UACGUAGGUGGCAAGCGUUGUCCGGAUUUAUUGGGUUUAAAGGGUGCGUAGGCGGCUUUGUAAGUCAGUGGUGAAAUAUGGCAGCUUAACUGUCAAGGUGCCAUUGAUACUGCAGAGCUUGAGUACAGAUGAGGUAGGCGGAAUUGACGGUGUAGCGGUGAAAUGCUUAGAUAUCGUCAAGAACACCUAUAGCGAAGGCAGCUUACUAGCUGCUAACUGACGCUGAGGCACGAAAGUGUGGGAGCAAACAGG